AGAUUGAACGCUAGCGGGAUGCUUUACACAUGCAAGUCGAACGGCAGCGCGGACUUCGGUCUGGCGGCGAGUGGCGAACGGGUGAGUAAUAUAUCGGAACGUGCCCAGUCGUGGGGGAUAACGCAGCGAAAGCUGUGCUAAUACCGCAUACGAUCUCUGGAUGAAAGCGGGGGACUCGCAAGAGCCUCGCGCGAUUGGAGCGGCCGAUAUCAGAUUAGCUAGUUGGUGGGGUAAAAGCUCACCAAGGCGACGAUCUGUAGCUGGUCUGAGAGGACGACCAGCCACACUGGAACUGAGACACGGUCCAGACUCCGUACGGGAGGCAGCAGUGGGGUAAUUUUGGACAAGUGGGCGCAAGCCUGAUCCGAA
rnacentral:rRNA from 1 species